GAUGAACGCUGGCGGCGUGCCUAAUACAUGCAAGUCGAGCGAACAGACGAGGAGCUUGCUCCUUUGACGUUAGCGGCGGACGGGUGAGUAACACGUAGGUAACCUACCUAUAAGACUGGGAUAACUUCGGGAAACCGGAGCUAAUACCGGAUAAUAUUUCGAACCGCAUGGUUCGAUAGUGAAAGAUGGCUUUGCUAUCACUUAUAGAUGGACCUGCGCCGUAUUAGCUAGUUGGUAAGGUAACGGCUUACCAAGGCAACGAUACGUAGCCGACCUGAGAGGGUGAUAGGCCACACUGGAACUGAGACACGGUCCAGACUACUACGGGAGGCAGCAGUAGGGAAUCUUCCGCAAUGGGCGAAAGCCUGACGGAGCAACGCCGCGUGAGUGAUGAAGGUCUUCGGAUCGUAAAACUCUGUUAUUAGGGAAGAACAAACGUGUAAGUAACUGUGCACGUCUCGACGGUACCUAAUCAGAAAGCCACGGCUAACUACGUG
rnacentral:rRNA from 1 species